rnacentral:tRNA from 1 species
GCGGGCGUGGCGAAAUUGGCAGACGCACCAGACUUAGGAUCUGGCGCCGCGAGGCAUGUGGGUUCGACCCCCUCCGCCCGCA